AAAGAACCUCUACCACACCAAACCGUGAUGAAGAUAUUUAGCAUCAGCAUCAUUGCACAGGGUUUGCCCUUCUGCCGUAGGCGGUUUUCCAGGGUUUUUUUCCUGAAAAUUCCACUGCUUGUUGCUCUCGAAGACUGCUGGAUAAAAAUUUCAUCACAUUAAAUACAUGUUUCUAAGAAGUGCUAAUAAGCUGGAGAAUUUGUGAGAGUGACUUGUUCACUUGCAGCAUUCCUUCAUUUCAAGUGGUUUAAAGUAGCACUGAACUGUUAUAAAGCAGGGGUUUCAGUGUGCACCCUGUGGUGUUCCAAGCUAGAAAAGUCAAGGUAAUAAAUGUAUCCAUUUUCAGUGCCUGUAAUCUCAGAUACACCAAAGAGUCUGUUAUACUGUUCCAGUUUGUGACAAUAGUUUUGCUGUAUGUGUGUAUGUUUCACCCUUAAAAUGGAUCCAACCGAAUUUUGGCAAUUCAUCAGCUUUGGUAGUUCAGUACUGAAAUAUUUCCAUUGUAGGGUGUAUUUUUGUGUUAAGUGAACAUAGGAUAAAGCAUUUUAAGCAUUAAUUUACAUACCACCCUGUAUUUUUCAAAUAAGAGCAUCCACUGCUCUUAUACAUUACAUAUGGAAUUAGUUGGUUUGUUACUACAACGAAGCACUUGGAAUGAGACUUUCAGUCAACCUUUUCCUGGUUGACUGGUAUGCUAGUAGUUUAUUUAAAAUACUUAUAUGACCUAUGCAUGAACAACUUCACUUAUUUGGACUUGUUUCUUUAUCCCUUAAUUUCUGUGUUAAAACAACCAAAACACUCUUUUCAUUAUCAGUCAAAUCUAUGUAAAUACUUGCACCAGCAGUUCAGCCAAAUCUGUCCAUUCAGUUUUUCAGGGAAAUGUAGUCCUGAAUUUUUCUGAAACAAAUCAUAUUUCUUGCUUGAGUAUAGCCCUUUAUUUCAUGGAUGACAGUAAGAUGUUACUUAAUGGACAAAAAACUACUUAGCUUUCUCUGAAAUGAUAUAUCCUCUCAUUUUACACUUCCCUAUAUUGCACCUGACUUUGCAUCAGUUCUGAGUAAUAUAGAAAAGCAUUAAACUAUUUUCCCCUUAAACAAAAAAUAAAGGAUUCUUUUCUCUUGCAAUUUCUCAUAAUUUGAUAAGAAGAGACUGUCAAAAGAACAUAAAGGAAAAAAAUGUGUGAAAAUGUGCAUGUGUGCACAUAUAUAUAUGUAUAUGUGUUUAAUUUUCUAAUUUAAAAUUUAAGGUAAUCUUCAGAGUCUGUCACUGAACAAAUUAGAGCACUCCCACAUGCUUGUGUCUUCUACAAGAGAAUUUUUUGGUUCUGGGCUUUGUGGCAGGGAACUUGAUAAUGGCCACUGGUGGUAAGAUGCCUCUUUGAGUGACUGUCAGAAAUAAUUUUAUUUCAAAGCUGCUUUAGUCUUUACUUAAAAUUCCGUUUUUUGUGUUAGAAAAAUUGUCAGAGAAGUACAGAUCAUGGACUGAUCAGUGGAUGUUUAAUACGAAAGGAAGUUUGUUCUUGUCCCUAUGCUUAUUUCUCAUAAAGGAGUGUGUCCAUUGCUCUGGAUUUGAAAAUAGUCACAAUAAAGCUGGCCUUAUAGAUGUUUUA